rnacentral:rRNA from 1 species
AAAGCCUGAUCCAGCGACGCCGCGUGCACGAAGACGGCCUUCGGGUUGUAAAGUGCUUUUGAUGGGGAAAAAUCCCGCACCUUUUUGGUCUGGUUGGGGUUUGAAUGUAUAAUACGCGUAUGUAUUACGUUUAUAUACUUUUAAAUCUAGACGAGAAAUCUGCUCGUAAGUUCUACAUUGGAGUUACUGAUAAAGUAACGACAAGAGUAGAUCAGCAUAAUCAUGGAUUAAGUCAGUGGACAAGUAAAUUUGGUCCCUGGAGGUUAAUCUAUUUUGAAGCUUAUCUAUCGCCAGUAGAUGCUGGUCGUCGAGAGCGACAGUUAAAGCAUCAUGGCAAAGGGUUUCAUGAACUUAAGAAAAGAUUAGAAUCUAGCAUCAACGAUGCCAAAAAGGUGCGGGACUGAUGGUACCCAUAGAAUAAGAGGUUGCUAACUCUGUGCCAGCAGCAGCGGUAAUACAGAGACCUCAAGCGUUAUCCGGAAUCAUUGGGCGUAAAGCGUACCGAUNNNNNNNNNNNNNNNNNAGCGUUAUCCGGAAUCAUUGGGCGUAAAGCGUACCGAUAGGUGGUUUUGAAAGUUUUGGGUAAAAGCCAGAAGCUCAACUUCUGAGUUUGCUCAAAAUACUGCAAAACUAGAGGGGCAAAGAGGAGACUGGAACGAACGGUGUAGUAGUGAAAUGCGUUGAUAUCGUUCGGAACACCGAAAGCGAAGGCAGGUCUCUGGGUGCCACCUGACACUGCUAGGACGAAAGCGUGGGGAGCGAAUGGGAUUAGAUACCCCAGUAGUCCACGCUGUAAACGAUGGAUAUUAGGCAUGCGCGAGUAUCGACCCUCGUGCGAGCCGUAGCUAACGCGUUAAAUAUCCCGCCUGUGUAGUACGGCCGCAAGGCUAAAACAUAAAGGAAUUGACGGGGACCCGCACAAGCGGUGGAGCAUGUGGUUUAAUUCGACGAUAAGCGAGGAACCUUACCAGGGUUUGACAUGUAUCUUCAAGCGCACGGAAACGUGUGAUCUUCGAGAGUGAUACACAGGUGCUGCACGGUUGUCGUCAGCUCGUGUCGUGAGAUGUUCCCUUAAGUGGGAGAACGAGCGCAACCCCCAUGUUAUGUUGAUUUUCAUAACAGACUGCCGGCGUUUAAGCUGGAGGAAGGCGGGGAUGACGUCAAAUCAGCGUGGUUUUUACACCCUGGGCGACACACGUGCUACAAUGGGUAGGAACAAAGGGACGCAAUACCGUAAGGUGGAGCAAAUCCUCUCAAAAACUACCCUCAGUUCGGAUUGAGGGCUGCAACUCGCCCUCAUGAAGCUGGAAUCGCUAGUAACCGUAGAUCAGCCUCGCUACGGUGAAUACGUUCUCGGGUUUUGUACACAAAUUAAAGGCGCCUGGCGGCUAUUAAAGCUAAGUGGUUUAAGUCCACUCGCUCGAUUUUCGAGUGUAGCGAACGGGUAGGUC